UGCAGUCGAGCGGAGAGCUUCGGCUCUUAGCGGCGAACGGGUGAGUAACACGUAGGUAACGUGCCUUCUGGUGGGGAAUAACCGUGGGAAACCAUGGCUAAUACCGCAUAUCGUCCUUCGGGAUGAAAGCCUUCGGGCGCCAGGAGAGCGGCCUGCGUCCCAUUAUUUAGUCCUAGUUGGUAGGGUAACGGCCUACCAAGGGUACGAUGGGUAGCUGGUCUGAGAGGAUGAUCAGCCACACUGGGACUGAGACACGGCCCAGACUCCUACGGGAGGCAGCAGUGGGGAAUAUUGCGCAAUGGGCGAAAGCCUGACGCAGCCACGCCGCGUGAGUGAUGAAGGCCUUCGGGUUGUAAAGCUCUGUCGGGAGGGACGAAGGGAGUAAUCUCUGACGGUACCUCGCAAGAAAGCACCGGCUAACUCUGUGCCAGCAGCCGCGGUAAUACAGAGGGUGCAAGCGUUGCUCGGAUUUACUGGGCGUAAAGCGUACGCAGACGGCUUGGUAGGUCGAAUGUGAAAGCCCCGGGCUCAACCCGGGAAAUGCAUUCGAAACCACCUCGCUCGAGUGUGGGAGAGGGAAGCGGAAUUCCUGGUGUAGAGGUGA
rnacentral:rRNA from 1 species